rnacentral:tRNA from 1 species
AAAUGAAGUAUUUAAUAAAUAGGAAGUUUUGAUUGAUUUGCAAUCAGUUUUUAUGGUAACAUACGAU